UACGUAGGGUGCAAGCGUUGUCCGGAAUUAUUGGGCGUAAAGAGCUCGUAGGCGGUCUGUCGCGUCUGCUGUGAAAAACUCGGGGCUUAACCCCCGGGCCUGCAGUGGGUACGGGCAGACUAGAGUGCGGUAGGGGGAGACUGGAAUUCCUGGUGUAGCGGUGAAAUGCGCAGAUAUCAGGAGGAACACCGGUGGCGAAGGGCGGGGUCUCUGGGCCGUAAACUGACGCUGAGGAGCGAAAGCGUGGGGGAGCGAACAGGA
rnacentral:rRNA from 1 species